GUUGUAUACUGACAUUGUUUGUCAUAGUAAAAUCCCUUUGGGAGAAAUGAAUGGUAUAAAACAAACUGUAAUAACAGACAGAAGGCUACUGUUGCUGCACUACUAUCACACAUUUUUCAACUCUAAGGAUAUAAAACUCAAACAUGAACUAUAACACGCUCAUAAUAACUACAACUACAAAACGGGACUGUGUGUUCCUUGUGGCCGAGUAGGUAGUUAUAUAGGCUGUUGUUAACUUGAGCUCCAGACAUCCACUUCUCUGUAAAUCUGCCCAGUUUCCUAGAUAUGGCAACACAUGCGCACAUCUUAUUUCAGGAAGUGUUUGCGACUUCUCAGAAACAGGCGAGCCAGCUAAUGUUGAUGCACGGUUUCCGGAAGUCGGACUCUUCUCCUGUGAAGCUUAGUUUAUCUUUCAGGAUGAACACCAGUUUAACUAGUAUUAUCCAUUCAAUAUACCGUUCAAAUUACAUAGUUUGGUGCUAGCUAGUUUGAUGGAUAAUGUGCAUAAUUGCUAGCUAGUAACCGGGCAGAUAGCUAGCCAAUUUAGUUAGCAACAUAACUAACGUUAGCUAGGUUAGCAACCGAAAAUAACACAUCGAAUGCCCAACUUACAUUAUAAAGGUUUUGCCACUGCCCAGACGAAUCUAUUUCCUCAAACUGUUGAUCCAUUUUGGUAUUGAUAUUUCUGUCUUGUGAAUAUAGUCUGAAUGUUAUCGUUGUCAACGGUGAGUUAGCCCCAACUGACAGCCAUCUACCGCGGAGAGUCAGCCGACUGUGGGGGGAUCUACGUCAUCUCCACCAGACCUCUGCAUGACGGAUGGUUCACCUCGUCUGGGGUUUUGCCCAAACUCUGGUCCUGGGUGCACGUUUUGGUUGUUGCUCUCUAACGCAACACAGCUGAUACAAAUAAUCAAAGCGUAAUUAUGAGUUGGUUAUUUUAAUCAGCCCAAAACGGACACACGGGACAGAGUUUGGGAAACCACCAGAACCCUGAAGAGGAGAACUAUCCGUCAUGUUGGCGUCGGUUCUGUGACACCAUUGGAAGGGCGGCCCCUGUGGGAGGAGUGUGGGAGAUGAUUAAAAGGAUGAGUGGGGUCAGAAGGGAGUGGGAUUAUCCAGUGUUGAAGAGUGGGAAGGAUGUGGCAGUAACAGCUGAGGAGAAAGCAGAGAUGAUGGCCAAAGUGUUCGUUUCAGUGCAUAGCUCUACAUUUGUCAGAGGAGGCGGAGCAUCCUGGAGUGCUGGAUAGGAGGGAGGAUGUAGAUGAUGUGUUGAAUGCGCCAUGACAUGUGAAAAGGGCAAUAGGACCUGAGCCCUAGGACCAUGCCUCAGGACUACCUGACAUGAUGACUCCUUGCUGUCCCCAGUCCACCUGGCCGUGCUGCUGCUCCAGUUUCAACUGUUCUGCC
ensembl:lncRNA